rnacentral:rRNA from 1 species
UACGUAGGGGGCAAGCGUUGUCCGGAAUUAUUGGGCGUAAAGAGCUCGUAGGCGGUCUGUUACGUCUGCUGUGAAAACCCGGGGCUUAACCCUGGGCUUGCAGUGGAUACGGGCAGACUAGAGGCAGGUAGGGGAGAAUGGAAUUCCCGGUGUAGCGGUGAAAUGCGCAGAUAUCGGGAGGAACACCGGUGGCGAAGGCGGUUCUCUGGGCCUGACCUGACGCUGAGGAGCGAAAGCGUGGGGAGCGAACAGG